rnacentral:rRNA from 1 species
AAGGAAAGCUUGCUUUCCUGAAUCUAGUGGCGAACGGGUGAGUAACACGUAGGUAACCUGCCCAUGUGCCCGGGAUAACUUCUGGAAACGGAUGCUAAAACCGGAUAGGUAGCAGACAAGCAUUUGACUGCUAUUAAAGUGGCCUUGGCCAUGAACAUGGAUGGACCCGCGUCUGAUUAGCUGGUUGGUGAGGUAACGGCCCACCAAGGCGACGAUCGGUAGCCGGACUGAGAGGUUGAACGGCCACAUUGGGACUGAGACACGGCCCAGACUCC